GCUCGAUCGUGAUAGUCUCCAAGAAAAACUCCUGCUGGUGCUUGUUGGUAAUUGUGAUCGCUCCAGGCUCUCCAAAAUCCGAGAGUUUGGGUAUACAAACUAAUCGACUACCCCGAAGAUUGGUCGUUUACGUGGAGCAAGCAGACUCAACAUUAAAAAAAUGGUACUAGAAUGAA